GAGGGUAGAGCUCAGUGGUAGAGCACAUGCUUAGCGUGCAUGAGGUCCUGGGUUCAAUCCGCAGCACCGCCA
rnacentral:tRNA from 1 species